UUGUACAUUGCUGGGGUGUGGCUGGGAGAACUGUAUGUAAUGUAACUCAGAAAAAACUGAGGACUGAAACUAGCCCAGAAGUACUGAGUGUCCACAGUUGCCCACAGCACUGUUUGAGAACCAGGGUGCCCAGAUUCCCAGUCCUUUCCACAAGCUUGUGCUGAUUCUGGAUGCAAGAAGCAAAGAGCCAUUUCCUUCCACCUCUGAAGAGCAGAAACCCUUUCUACAGGGGUCUGAGAGGGUACCUGGAAUCUCUUUAAUUCCUGAAACAGACCUCAAACAAGGAAACUGGAGCUCAGAAUCAGGCCCAAGGUCACGAAGAUCCUGAACAUCACAACUGCAACAUGAAUCCAGUGUGUUUUUGACUCCAAACCCAACUGUGCUGUGUUGCCUCACAGCCUUAUCGCUAAACGGAGCCAUCUCUAAGAAGGGUGCAGUAAACCAGAGCAAGUCCAAAUGAAAACCCAGGUUGCAAAGAAUCUAUCAAGUAGGAUCCAAAGUGUGUGUGUAUGUGUGUGUGUGUGUGUGUGUGUACACAUGCACACAUACCCAUUUACACACAUGCAAGCAGAACACAUCUAAAUACCAAGUGCUGAUUUUAAAAUUUUCUUCUUUAUAAAUUUCUAUUUUUCCAAAACAUUAAAA